rnacentral:rRNA from 1 species
CCUACGGGUGGCAGCAGUGGGGAAUAUUGCACAAUGGAGGGAACUCUGAUGCAGCAACGCCGCGUGAGUGAAGACGUCAUUCGUGAUGUAAAGCUCUAUCUGCAGGGACGAUAAUGACGGUACCUGAAGAAGAAGCCCCGGCUAAAUACGUGCCAGCAGCCGCGGUAAUACGUAUGGGGCAAGCGUUAUCCGGAUUUACUGGGUGUAAAGGGAGAGUAGGUGGGAGUGUAAGUCCGAAGUGAAAACCCAGAGUCCAACUAUUGGAAUGCUUUAGAAACUGGACCGCUAGAGUGCAGGAGAGGCAAGUGGAAUUCUUAGUGUAGCGGUGAAAUGCGUAGAUAUUAGGAGGAACACCAGUGGCGAAGGCGGCUUACUAAACUGCCACUGACAUUGAUGCUCGAAAGUGUGGGUAUCAAACAGGAUUAGAUACCCGGGUAGUC